CGGAGGGUGCAAGCGUUGUUCGGAUUUAUUGGGCGUAAAGCGCGUGUAGGCGGUUUUUUAAGUCUGAUGUGAAAGCCCCGGGCUCAACCCGGGAAGUGCAUUGGAAACUGGGAGACUUGAAUACGGGAGAGGGUAGUGGAAUUCCUAGUGUAGGAGUGAAAUCCGUAGAUAUUAGGAGGAACACCGGUGGCGAAGGCGGCUACCUGGACCGAUAUUGACGCUGUGACGCGAAAGCGUGGGGAGCAAACAGGAUUAGAUACCCUGGUAGUCCACGCCGUAAACGAUGAGAACUAGGUGUUGCGGGUAUUGACCCCUGCAGUGCCGCAGCUAACGCAUUAAGUUCUCCGCCUGGGAAGUACGGUCGCAAGACUA
rnacentral:rRNA from 1 species